rnacentral:rRNA from 1 species
UACAGAGGGGGCAAGCGUUGUUCGGAAUUACUGGGCGUAAAGGGCGCGUAGGCGGCCCGCUAAGUCGAACGUGAAAUCCCUGGGCUCAACCCAGGAACUGCGUCCGAUACUGGCAGGCUUGAAUCCGGGAGAGGGAUGUGGAAUUCCUGGUGUAGCGGUGAAAUGCGCAGAUAUCAGGAGGAACACCAAUUGCGAAGGCAGCUCGCUGGGACGUAACUGACGCUGAGACGCGAAAGCGUGGGGAGCAAACAGG